rnacentral:rRNA from 1 species
GCACGGGAUUUCCGUGUCCCGGUGUGAAUCUGGCCAGGACCAUCUGCUAAGGGCUAAAUUACCUAGCGACCGAUGUGAACCCAGUACCGUGAGGGGAAAGGUGAAAAGCACCCCCGGGGAGGGGAGUGAAAUAGUACCUGAAACCGUGUGCUUACAAAUAGUCCGGAGCCCUUUAAAUGGGUGAACGGCGUGCCUUUUGUAGAAUUGAACCGGCGAGUUACCGGUAGCGUGCGAGGUUUAAGUCGGAAGAGACGGAGCCGCAGCGAAAGCGAGUCUGAAUAGGGCGCAAGUACGUUGCCGUAGACCCGAAACCGCGUGUGAUCUAGCCAUGUCCAGGGUGAAGGUAGGGUAACACCUACUGGAGGCCCGAACCCACGCACUUGAAAAGUGCGGGGAUGAAGGUGUGGCUAGCGGUGGAAAUUCCAAUUCGAACUCCGGAGAUAGCUGGUUCUCCCCGGAAUUAGCCUUUAAGGGCUAGGCCUCGGGAAUGGAAGAGUCCUUGGAAGUUAGAGCACUGUUUGGGAAAUAGCUUUAGGGCUAGCCUCGGAAUGAAGAGUCUUGGAGGUAGAGCACUGAUUGGGCUAGGGGCCCUCAUCCGGGGUUACCGAACCUCAGUCAAACUCCGAAUGCCAAUGAGACCUUUUGUGUUCCCGGAGUCAGACGAUGAGUGCUAAGAUCCAUCGUAAAAAGGGAAACAGGCCCAGACCAUCAGCUAAGGUCCCCAAGUGUAUGUUAAGUGGGAAACGAUGUGGAGUGCCCAGACAACCAGGAUGUUGGCCUUAGGAAGCAGGCCAACAAUUAAAAAGUGCCUUAAUAGCUCAAUUUGGUCGAGGUGGACUCUGCGCGAGAAAAAUGUAACCGGGGCUAAACAUACCACCGAAGCUAUGGGCAGUCCUUACGGACUGGGUAAGGGAAGCGUUCCAAGCAGCAGUGAAGCCGUACCGGAAGGAGCCGUUGGAGCGCUUGGAAGUGAGAAUGCCGGUGAAAUAGCGAAAAGACCAAGUGAGGAAUCUUGUUCAACCCAAAAGCCUUAGGUUUCCUGGGGAAGGCUCGUCCUCCCAGGGUUAGUCGGGACCUAAGCUGAGGCCGAAAGGGUUUCCUGGGGAAGGCUCGUCCUUCCAAGGGUUAGUCGGGACCUAAGCUGAAGGCCGAAAGGCGUAGGCGAUGGACAACAGGUUGAUAUUCCCUGUAACCACCUCUGUUCCGCCUUGAGCAAUGGCGUGACGCAGGAGGAUAGGGUGACCGGGGCCUACUGGAUGGCCGUCCAAGCAGUAAGCCUGGUGUGUAGGCAAAUCCGCACACUGUUAAGGGCAAGCUGUGAUGGCGAGGGAAACAUAAGUACCGAAGUUCCCUGAUUUCACACUGCCAAGGAAAGGCGUCUAGCGAGGAACAAGGUGCCCGUACCGAAAACGAGACACAGGGUAGGCGAGGAGAGAAUCCUAAGGUGCGCGGGAUAACUCUUGCUAAGGAACUCGGCAAAAUGGCCCCGUAACUUCGGGAGAAGGGGCGCCCCGGUAGGGUUAAUAGCCCGAGGGGGCCGCAGUGAAAAGGCCCAAGCGACUGUUUAGCAAAAACACAGGUCUCUGCGAAGCCGCAAGGCGAAGUAUAGGGGCUGACGCCUGCCCGGUGCUGGAAGGUUAAGGGGAUGGGUUAGCGCAAGCGAAGCUUUGAACCGAAGCCCCAGUAAACGGCGGCCGUAACAAUAACGGUCCUAAGGUAGCGAAAUUCCUUGUCGGGUAAGUUCCGACCCGCACGAAAGGCGUAACGACUUGGGCGCUGUCUCGGCAAGAGACCCGGUGAAAUCAUAAUACCUGUGAAGAUGCAGGUUACCCGCGACAAGACGGAAAGACCCCAUGGAGCCUUUACUGUAGCCUGGUAUUGGAACUUUGUGCAUCAUGUACAGGAUAGGUGGGAAGCUGAGAAGCAGGGGCGCCAGCCUCUGUGGAGCUGUCGGUGGGAUACCACCCUUGAUGUACGGAGUUUCUAACUCGUCGCCCUUAUCGGGCGAGAGGACCAUGCCAGGUGGGCAGUUUGACUGGGGCGGUCGCCUCCUAAAAGGUAACGGAGGCGCCCAAAGGUUCCCUCAGAAUGGUCGGAAAUCAUUCGUAGAGUGUAAAGGCAGAAGGGAGCUUGACUGCGAGACCUACAAGUCGAGCAGGGACGAAAGUCGGGCUUAGUGAUCCGGUGGUUCCGCAUGGAAGGGCCAUCGCUCAACGGAUAAAAGCUACCCUGGGGAUAACAGGCUUAUCUCCCCCAAGAGUCCACAUCGACGGGGAGGUUUGGCACCUCGAUGUCGGCUCAUCGCAUCCUGGGGCUGAAGUAGGUCCCAAGGGUUGGGCUGUUCGCCCAUUAAAGCGGUACGCGAGCUGGGUUCAGAACGUCGUGAGACAGGUUCGGUCCCUAUCUGUCGCGGGCGCAGGAAGUUUGAGGAGAGCUGUCCUUAGUACGAGAGGACCGGGAUGGACGCACCGCUGGUGCACCAGUUGUCACGCCAGUGGCACAGCUGGGUAGCUAUGUGCGGAAGGGAUAAGCGCUGAAAGCAUCUAAGCGUGAAGCCCCCUCCAAGAUGAGACUUCCCACAGCGUUAAGCUGGUAAGACCCCUCAUAGACGAUGAGGUUGAUAGGUUCGGUGUGGAAGCGCGGCAACGCGUGGAGCUGACGAAUACUAAUCGGUCGAGGACUUAUCCAC